CCGAAGUUAAGCGUGCUUGGGCGAGAGUAGUACUGGGAUGGGUGACCUCCUGGGAAGUCCUCGUGUUGCACCCCUGGG
rnacentral:rRNA from 1 species